AACGGCCGUACCAUGCUGAAUAUACCGGUUCUCGUUAGAUCACCGAAGUCAAGCAUCAUUGGGCGCGGUCAGUACUUGGAUGGGUGACCACUUGGGAACACCGCGUGCUGUU
rnacentral:rRNA from 1 species